rnacentral:rRNA from 1 species
GACGAACGCUGGCGGCGUGCCUAACACAUGCAAGUCGAACGGAGUGAUGAUUUCGGUUAUCACUUAGUGGCGAACGGGUGAGUAACGCGUGAGAAACCUGCCUUUCAGUGGGGGACAACAGUUGGAAACGACUGCUAAUACCGCAUAAUGUCAUUUGGGGGCAUCCCUGGAUGACCAAAGAUUUAUUGCUGAAAGAUGGUCUCGCGUCUGAUUAGCUGGUUGGUGAGGUAACGGCCCACCAAGGCGACGAUCGGUAGCCGGACUGAGAGGUUGAACGGCCACAUUGGGACUGAGACACGGCCCAG